GACGAACGCUGGCGGCGUGCCUAACACAUGCAAGUCGAACGGUUCUUUAAGGUAGCUUGCUACUUUAAAGAAUAGUGGCGGACGGGUGAGUAACGCGUGAGUAACCUGCCUUUCGGAGGGGAAUAGCAUAGGGAAACCUAUGAUAAUACCGCAUAACAUAUAUUUACCGCAUGGUAGAUAUAUCAAAGAUUUAUCGCCGAAAGAUGGACUCGCGUCCGAUUAGGUAGUUGGUAAGGUAACGGCUUACCAAGCCUACGAUCGGUAGCCGGACUGAGAGGUUGAACGGCCACAUUGGGACUGAGACACGGCCCAGACUCCUACGGGAGGCAGCAGUGGGGAAUAUUGCGCAAUGGGGGGAACCCUGACGCAGCAACGCCGCGUGAAGGAUGAAGGCCUUCGGGUUGUAAACUUAAAUAAUCAAGGACGAUAAUGACGGUACUUGACUAAAAGCCACGGCAAACUACGUG
rnacentral:rRNA from 1 species